GAUGAACGCUGGCGGCGUGCCUAAUACAUGCAAGUCGAGCGAACAGACGAGGAGCUUGCUCCUCUGACGUUAGCGGCGGGCGGGUGAGUAACACGUGGAUAACCUACCUAUAAGACUGGGAUAACUUCGGGAAACCGGAGCUAAUACCGGAUAAUAUAUUGAACCGCAUGGUUCAAUAGUGAAAGACGGUUUUGCUGUCACUUAUAGAUGGAUCCGCGCCGCAUUAGCUAGUUGGUAAGGUAACGGCUUACCAAGGCAACGAUGCGUAGCCGACCUGAGAGGGUGAUCGGCCACACUGGAACUGAGACACGGUCCAGACUCCUACGGGAGGCAGCAGUAGGGAAUCUUCCGCAAUGGGCGAAAGCCUGACGGAGCAACGCCGCGUGAGUGAUGAAGGUCUUCGGAUCGUAAAACUCUGUUAUUAGGGAAGAACAAAUGUGUAAGUAACUAUGCACGUCUUGACGGUACCUAAUCAGAAAGCCACAGCUAACUACGUG
rnacentral:rRNA from 1 species